rnacentral:piRNA from 1 species
UUAUAAGAUACAGGGAAGGAUUCACAGGC